CCUACGGGAGGCAGCAGUGGGGGAUAUUGCACAAUGGGGGGAACCCUGAUGCAGCGACGCCGCGUGGGUGAAGGAGCGUUUCGGCGCGUAAAGCCCUAUCGGCAGGGAAGAAGGAGGACGGUACCUGACUAAGAAGCCCCGGCUAACUACGUGCCAGCAGCCGCGGUAAUACGUAGGGGGCAAGCGUUAUCCGGAUUUACUGGGUGUAAAGGGGGCGCAGACGGCAGCGCAAGCCAGGAGUGAAAGCCCGGGGCCCAACCCCGGGACUGGUCUUGGAACUGGGCGGCUUGAGGGCAGGAGGGGGCAGGGGGAAUCCCUGUUGUGGCGGGGAA
rnacentral:rRNA from 1 species